CCACCUUUGCUAAGUGCAACCACGUGACUGCUUCCUACUAGCUCUACGGGCCUGCAGGGACCCCAUCCACAUGCCCAUUCCACCUGCAGCGCAUCUGUUCACUUCCACCAGCUAGGAAUCUACAGAUGGGCACAAAGAACUUCCAUCCGUAACUUACCUCAUCAAAUGAAAGGUCUAGUCACUGAGCAACACUACCUUUCCUCUAAACUGCUGUGAAGAUCUCUUCAGACCAUGGAUGAAGGGGCACUGGAAUUGACUGCCUCCGGUUGCCUAGGGCAACAGUAAGCUGAUCUUUCCACAGACUCCUAAUCCACAGGAUCUUCUAAAGCUUGCCAGGCCCUGUGCUGCCAGCUCAAAGACAGACGUACCCGCCCUCAGCGACCAUGGAGGACCCCAGAGUGGCUCUCUCGGUAGCCAAUCAAGGGAUGUUCAGAAGACAGAAGACAUGAUUUAGGAAACUUGAAACUGAACAGGAGAAAUAACAGAGGAAUCUCUAGGAGACUUGAAAAGAAUACCCCACGGCACACCUAGGAAGAAAACCACACUGGACCACUUCAGGGAUACCUGGGAAACUCCCUCCAGAAGUAACUGGAAAAAUUGAUCAGAAAACUGAAAAUCCUGCAGAAAAGUCUUCAUGAGAGACUACGGACAGCAUUUAGAACAGUGCAGCCUUAGAUAGCUAAGCAAGGGCUGAAAGAGGUGUAGAAAAACUGAUAGAGACAUCAUAAUAGUGUGUGUAAGUCUAGAGAAGAGAGAUGGGAGGUGUGCAAAGGUGUAACAGACUUAUUCACCUAUAGUUUUUAUUCCAUCAUAGAAAAUACGUAGUGCUAACACAAGGAAAUUAAAGAACAUGUAAUUGGUCCCGUAGGCAUGUUACUGGGAAACAGCACUGUGAACAUACAAAGGACAGCAAAAGGAGUUAUGUCCAGCUGCUACUUCUGAUACUUUUUACUUUUCUAUAUAAAGAGAAUUAUCUAAUCUUGAAAUCAUAAAAGUAUAAUUCUGUCAAAAUGAAACUAAAUUUCAUACUAUAUUACAAUUCUCAGACUAUGUAAUUUAAUUAGCUGUAUUGUAAUUAAUGCAAUUCAGAAGACUCACAACUAAAUGAGAUAACCCAAAGAGCACAUCACUUCUCGAACACAUAUUAAAUAUUAUAUUGAUGAUAACGAGAUUAUAGCAAUGAUGAUGAACCGCAAGGUAUCAUUUCCUUUUGGUUGCAUAGAAGCCCACACUUUUACAUCAGUCUCUGCUUCCUUCCUGUCUUGCACAGCUCCAUAUUGCCUUGCACAACAUUUAAAGUUUGGGAGGAUGAUGGUAGAGAAAUCGGUCACAAUAUCCCUCACACUUCUUUGGCACCCACUCAAAGAGACCUUGAAGUUGGCACAAAGCAACAUAACACAUUUUCUUCCUGCUACUGUCCCCAGACAACGCUAAAUUAGUCACUGAUAUUAGUAAAACUUUAGUCCAAGUUCAUGUGUGUGAGGCCACUGGUGAUAUGUCAUGUAUGUGAGGCCACUGGUGAUAUGUCAUGUGUGCGAGGCCACUGGUGAUGUCAUGCGUGUGAGGCCACUGGUGAUAUGUCAUGUGUGUGAGGUCACUGGUGAUAUGUCAUGUGUGUGAGGCCACUGGUGAUAUGUCAUGUGUGUGAGGCCACUGGUGAUAUGUCAUGUGUGUGAGGCCACUGGUGAUAUGUCAUGCAUACCCAUGCUGUUUCAUCUGCUUAAAUCCAGCAUGGCUUCUCCAUUUCUUAUAGACUUCAGAAAUUUCCUGUAUGCACAA